UACGUAGGGUGCGAGCGUUAAUCGGAAUUACUGGGCGUAAAGCGUGCGCAGGCGGCGCGUUAAGACAGGUGUGAAAGCCCCGAGCUUAACUUGGGAAUUGCGCUUGUGACUGGCGUGCUGGAGUGUGGCAGAGGGAGGUGGAAUUCCACGUGUAGCAGUGAAAUGCGUAGAGAGUGUGGAGGAACACCGAUGGCGAAGGCAGCCUCCUGGGCCAGCACUGACGCUCAUGCACGAAAGCGUGGGGAGAAACAGG
rnacentral:rRNA from 1 species